AAGUAAAAGUCGUAACAAGGUUUCCGUAGGUGAACCUGCGGAAGGAUCAUUACCGAAUUGUCGACACGAGUUGUUGCUGGUCCUCAAACGGGGGCAUGUGCACGCUCUGUUUGCACAUCCACUCACACAUGUGCACCCUCUGUAGUUCUGCAGCCUGGGGGCUCUGUCCCCCUUGCCGUGGUUCUAUGUAUUUACAUACACACCGUAAUAAAGUCUCAUGGAAUGUGCCGCGUUUAACGCAAUACAAUACAACUUUCAGCAACGGAUCUCUUGGCUCUCGCAUCGAUGAAGAACGCAGCGAAAUGCGAUAAGUAAUGUGAAUUGCAGAAUUCAGUGAAUCAUCGAAUCUUUGAACGCACCUUGCGCCCUUUGGCCAUUCCGAAGGGCAUGCCUGUUUGAGUAUCAUGAACACCUCAACUCUCAUGGCUUGCCAUGAUGAGCUUGGACUUUGGGGGUCUUGCUGGCCUGCGGUCGGCUCCUCUCAAAUGAAUCAGCUUGCCAGUGUUUGGUGGCAUCACAGGUGUGAUAACUAUCUACGCUUGUGGUUUUCCACCAGGUAACCUUCAGUGAUGGAGGUUCGCUGGAGCUCAUAAACGUCUCUCCUCGGUGAGGACAGCUCUUUGAACGUUUGAUCUCAAAUCAGGUAGGACUACCCGCUGAACUUAAGCAUAUCAAUAAGCGGAGGAAAAGAAACUAACAAGGAUUCCCCUAGUAACUGCGAGUGAAGCGGGAAGAGCUCAAAUUUAAAAUCUGGCGUG
rnacentral:rRNA from 1 species